rnacentral:rRNA from 1 species
AUUUCCCAACUUCGGUUAUAAGAUCCCUCAAAGAUGAUGAGGUUAAUAGGUUCGAGGUGGAAGCGUAGCGAUACGUGGAGCUGACGAAUACUAAUCGAUCGAAGACUUAAUCAAA